CGUAGGAAGCAAGCGUUAUCCGGAUUUACUGGGCGUAAAGGGCAGGCAGGCGGUUGGUUAAGUUGGACUUGAAAGCUCCCGGCUCAACUGGGAGAGGUGGUUCAAAACUGGCCAACUAGAGGAUGGUAGAGGAGAGUGGAAUUCCCGGUGUAGUGGUGAAAUGCGUAGAUAUCGGGAGGAACACCAGUGGCGAAAGCGGCUCUCUGGGCCACACCUGACGCUCAACUGCGAAAGCCAGGGGAGAGAACGGGAUUAGAAACCCCGGUAUUCCUGGCCGUAAACGAUGUUAACUAGGCGUCGGCGGUGUCAAAGCCGCCGGUGCUGCAGCCAACGCGAUAAGUUAACCGCCUGGGGACUACGGCCGCAAGGCUA
rnacentral:rRNA from 1 species